UCACGAGCAGGGUGUUCCAGGGCUCCUGAAAACUGUGGUUGCCUUUACCCCCUAGUUUUAGCUGUGUCCCCUCCAGUCCGGGAUGUUGCGAUGAAUUCCCCAGCUCUGGUCCUCCCCAGCUCUGCUUCCUCUACUCCUGGCUCAGAAACGGCCAUAAUCCACAGAACAAAUGGUGCUAGGCAGCAAAGGCAUUUGUGAGCUUCGGAGCAGCACCAGUGCCCUGCACCAUGCCC
rnacentral:lncRNA from 1 species